rnacentral:lncRNA from 1 species
AUAACACUUAUUAUAAUAUUUCAUCAUAUUUAUGGGUUCAUACCUACUGUAAAUUGUAUAUGAACCAAAGCCACACUGAAAUACAUCUAGGAGGAUAUUUUAUCAGAAAUUACAUAUAAGUGGAAUUCCUCGUUUGGCUCAUACAUCUUAUAUGCAUACCAUUGCUUAUUAUUCAUAUUCUUGUUCGAAAUCAACAGCUUUUAAAUAAAAUAUAUAAGACGUUAGGUCACGCUAAAAGUAUAUGCUCAAAACAUGAGCGUUACUAGCUUCGCAUAUACAUUUCACCAAACCACUUGAUCGUAUCUUUUAUAUGCAUGCGUGUCAUAUUGAAGGAAUAAUUUCAGCUGUUUUUAUAAGCAGAGUGAGUGCUAGAGAAUAUAAAAGUUCAUUGGGUUCCUGUUGAAAUGUUUUCAAUUACGUUUUACAGCAUUAAUAACCAUCAUACUUAAGUAUGACUUUGCAACUUGUACGGAACCCAUGGCGAAACCAAUUAAAGGCCAUCUAUGUUAAACCUUCAUGGGGAAACUGCUAGAAGGACGAUUAAAUCAACGGGAGACUGAAAAUGUAGAAGUAAAAUUCUCGUCUUCUGGGCGAGACGAUUCCUCAAGGUCCGACAGGUCUAGUUUACUGUUUUGGGAGAAAAAUCUGUGUCCGUACUGUUUUUACGGAACCUGUGAACAUGAAUCAUAUUCAAUAAAAUGUUUUAAACUUGA